GAGAAAGACAUAUUGGUCGUAUGGAGCUGGCUUGAAACUAGUUUUAGGGGGUUCAAUUCCUUCCUUUCUUA
rnacentral:tRNA from 1 species